ensembl:lncRNA
UUUUGCUUUUAUUUAUUUGUCUUUUAUUUAUUUUUCCUGAUUGAAAUGUAUUGUAAGGUCAUAAUUUGUCAUUCAUCACAUUACAUGGCAUGAUGCACCAAGUCUACUACACCCACUUACAGGAGGAAUACACGGAAACAUACACAAGGUUUUACAAUGGGGAAACAGGAAGUUUAGCUCAUUGCACUUACAACAGUGAAUGGAACACUUUGUAGUCAUUUUUAGGCUCUCAACCUUUCUCUGUAUUUUAUUUUCACCCUUUUACUUCAUUCAAUUUGGGUUAUAAUUGUUUUUUCUUAAAAACACAUCUCCAUUGUCCAGUUCACCUUCUCUCUCUCUCCAUCUCCAUCUCCCACAAAAAUAAAAGUAAAUCACCCCCCGAAAAAUUACAUGGAAGCCAGAAUAUUUUUCCCUUUUUUUUUUGUAGUUUUUGAUGUCAUCUCGUUUUACAAACACAACAUGUAUAGAAACUCUACACAGACCAAUAUGUUUUUAUGAUUUUUUUCCAUAUCCGAAUACAACUUUUUAAAAAUGUUUUAAAUGAACAGUCCGCACGAGCCAGCCACAUACGUACACAAUGGCAUUUAUUAUUCAAAUUAACAACUGCUCUUGUUUGUUUAUGUGUUGUUUUUUUUAAUUAUUAUACACAAAAAGCACAAGUUUCCGGGGGCAGGGAGUUGUGGGCUUGCAUACACUCCAGUUCGUGUCGCCGUCUGGUGUGCAAAGGCUUUUUCGCGUGCCUCUUGUGCAUGUGUGUUGUGUUUGUGUUAGCAUGUUUGAGAUUUACAUGUUGUACAGGACCUUCAUGGCAUUUACAUAUUUGUUUGGUCGACUCUGGUCGGUCUGGUAUUUACACUGGAAAAAAUAUGGCAGCCCGUGAGGUGGGAGGUCGAGGAGGGUUUGGGGGAGUUGGGUCGGGUCGGGUCGGGGUCCAGCUCAUGCAAUUUUACUUUUUGAUGAUUCAUUACAGGUGAAGGAUGAUUAAACGCUCCCUGAUGGUGAAAUAUGGACUCGGUAACUUUUCUCUUGUGGUUUUCUUCUUUUACAACCUCUCACCCAUGAAACAUUGACUUCCUAUAUAUUUAUAUUUAUAUAUUUAUAUACUUUAGUGUUUGAAAACCGUUUUUUUCUCUCGGGUCCUGCUAUACAUCGACUGUCUUUAUUUAUGACCAACAGCAAGAGCAGUGGUGACACUUUUACUACACUACGCUCUGUACAAGCACUGCAUGCUACCUUUUUGGUUUAGAACACACACAUACAAACACACACACACACACACACACACACACACACACACACACACACACACACACACACACACACACACACACACACACACACACAGUCUGGAUUUCCCAAAGUAUUUUUAAGCUGCAUUUAAAUACAGGAGGAGCUGUUUGUCUUUACUCUUUAUGGCGCGCUCUACUUCUUAAUGUCAUGGCUAAAUCUGAUCCACGAAAAGAGCCAGUUCGUGUGACUGUGCAUAAAUGCAGCCUUAUUGCUGAUGUCAGAUUCACAGACGAGUCAAACCGUCUUAAAAUUUGCUUCUUUUAAAGAUCUCUUGGAAGCAACCUCUUACGGUUCUCGUCUUUGAAUCUGUCAAUCUUCUAUUGCAAGAGUUUUGUACCAAAGCGUCCAAAUGUUGAGAAAAAUGUUGAUUUUUCUGAUAUUAAUCUCAAUUUGGAACACAACUUUUGUCCAUUUUAUUUAUUUGUCUACCUUUUGUGCUUCAAACACCUCUGAAAAACGCAGGCUGUGAGCUGAUUCCGGAGAUUUUGCCCCACUGGUGAUUGCUGUGGUCUGAACAGAAGUCGCCCGUUACAUUUCCUGGAAAUAGACAGACACCAUGCAGAGUAUAGACAGAGACCACGACUGGCUGGAGGGCAGUAACAGGAUGGCUUUCUUCACUGACCAGUAUUGUGGUAUUAAAGCCCUUGCUGCUAUGCAUAUUUUAGUCACCUUCAGUGGCUGUAUUCACGCAGGAGCAAAAAAAACCAAAACAAAACAAAAAAGAAGUUUUGAUACAGUUCUUGUUCUUCAUCUUUAGAAUAUUUUAAAUAUUUCUGACUCCCUUCCUUUGCAAUCUGAUUUCUUGCACCUGCAUAAACACAUCCAUCACUAUUCUCCGUUGUCUUUUGAACACCUCCGCCGCGAUGCUGCAUUUAGUGUGUGCUUUCCUGAGGCAAAAAGUGAUUGAGGAUUAUUUUAUUGAACAUUUUAUGUUUUUUACAAACUCCCAUAAACAUACGACACACAACAGAGAACGUCGGCAUUCAUUUUGGGUGACUUUAAUCUCUCUCCCGUGUUGUUUGUUCUGGUUUGACGCCUCAUUUUUUAAGCUUUUCGUCUUAAAAGUCGACACUCUGGUGGAAGUGAAGUGAUGUCUGUUUGGGCCACGGAGGAAUUAACAGACUGAACUCGGAUCCACACAGAACCAGAAUAAUCAGAUCCUUAAUCCUGCAGCUAGAUUUACCUGUGAAGAGGCCAAAAAAGGAGAAAAAAUUGAACAAUCACUAUGACUUCGAGUUUAAAAUAGGCCCAGGUGAAACCGUUUUAAAACUGCCAAUCAAUUCAACGUACAUUUCUUAUUUAACUAUACUAUUCAAAAAUGUUUUUCUGUUUACUUUUAUUCAGUUUAACAAUCUGAUUAUUAUAGUUGUGCAUAAAUCCAGCAAAAGAUAACUUCUGUAUAAUUUCUUAUUCUCUGUCUAUAGAAAUUUAAAAUGUAAAUCUCUUUCUAAAUGCCAGCUAACUUUCUAUCCUUUCUCAGUAUGAUAAAAAUAAAUUAUUACAUAGAUGAUCUGAUAAACAUUUCACAAAAAAUAUAUAUAUACUAAUUUCUUUUACACAGAUUUAGUGACUUGGGAGACCCUGCACAUGAAAAAAGGACUUAUAGGUUAAGGGAUAUUUUCAUACUUUAUAAACCACCAUUUAAAAUCUGAAUUUCCAUAAAUAGCAUCUUUUUAAUUGCUUAGCUAUAUAGUGUGCUGCUACCAAACUGCAAACACAAAAAAGACUGAUGGUAAAUUUGCAGAUGAUUUGCUUCUGAGGUACAGAAAUUUGACGUUACACAGUGUAUUUAGCUUAUAAAUCUUGUUGUUUAGCGUGCCAUGGCAGUGCACCUUUAAACGCUCUCACACACAUUCACACACACAACCAUUCAAACUCUCUCUUAUGCCACAAAUUCAGUUUAGGAAUGCCUGAAUAGUGCUUCACUAGUAGCAGUUUCCUUCGUCGUAUAUAAUCUGUAAUUUUAUUAAGUAUAUAAUAAGUAUGCAUUUGUAUUUUAACCACUUUCAACAUUCUUGGAGCUUCGAUCAGUGCAGAAACAACAACUGCACAAACAAGUUUC